rnacentral:rRNA from 2 species
GCCUGAGAAACGGCUACCACAUCCAAGGAAGGCAGCAGGCACGCAAAUUACCCAAUCUCAGCUCUGGGAGGUAGUGACGAAAAAUAACAAUGCGGGACUCUUCCGAGUCUACGUAAUUGGAAUGAGCACACUUUAAAUCCUUUAGCAACAACCAAUUGGAGGGCAAGUCUGGUGCCAGCAGCCGCGGUAAUUCCAGCUCCAAUAGCGUAUAUUAAAGUUGUUGCGUUUAAAAAGCUCGUAGUUCGAGUUCAGUUCCGGACUGGCCGGGGAGGUCACCGCCCGGUGCUUCCCCGUCAGGCUCCGAACAGCUUUCAUGACUGAAAGCCAAGCCGGUUUCGCCGGGGUGCUCUUCACCGAGUGUCCCGCGCGGCCGGCCAGUUUACCUUGAAUAAAUCAGAGUGCUCAAAGCAGGCUACUCUUAAAAAUAAAGCCCGAAUGUUACCUGCAUGGAAUGAUGGAAGAUGAUCUCGGUUCCAUUUUGUCGGUUCUGGGAAUCCGAGUUAAUGAUAAACAGGGACUGUCGGGGGCAUCCGUACUACGACGCGAGAGGUGAAAUUCAGUGACCGUCGUAGGACGAACAACAGCGAAAGCAUUUGCCAAGAAUGUCUUCGUUGAUCAAGAACGAAAGUUAGAGGAUCGAAGGCGAUCAGAUACCGCCCUAGUUCUAACCCUAAACGAUGCUGACUAGCAAUCCGCCGUCGUUAUUCCCAUGACGUGGCGGGACGCCCCCGGGAAACCUCAAGUCUUUGAGUUCCGGGGGUAGUAUGGUUGCAAAACUGAAACUUAAAGGAAUUGACGGAAGGGCACCACCAGGAGUGGAGCCUGCGGCUUAAUUUGACUCAACACGGGGAACCUCACCAGGCCCGGACACCAGAAGGAUUGACAGAUUAAGAGCUCUUUCUCGAUUUGGUGGGUGGUGGUGCAUGGCCGUUCUUAGUUGGUGGAGUGAUUUGUCUGGUUAAUUCCGGUAACGAACGAGACUCUGGCCUAUUAAAUAGUCGACGUGGGUUUUGGUGCAUGGGCCCCGUUCGAUAAUGUCUUCUUAGAGGGAUGAGCAGCGAGUAUAGCUGCAGGAGAUUGAGCAAUAACAGGUCUGUGAUGCCCUUAGAUGUCCUGGGCCGCACGCGCGCUACACUGAAUGGAUUAGCGGGUUCUCCUUCUCCGAGAGGAGCGGGAAAUCGCGUGAAAACCAUUCGUGAUAGGGAUUGGGGCUUGCAAUUGUUUCCCAUGAACGAGGAAUUCCCAGUAAGCGCAAGUCAUCAGCUUGCGUUGAUUAAGUCCCUGCCCUUUGUACACACCGCCCGUCGCUACUACCGAUUGAAUGAUUUAGUGAGGCCUUCGGACUGGCGGUCUUGGACUGGGCUCCGCUCGCUACUACUCCAGCAAUGGGGGGCGGCGGACUCGCCAUGACGUGCCGGAAAGAUGUCCAAACUUGAUCAUUUAGAGGAAGUAAAAGUCGUAACAAGGUUUCC